UACGAGGGGUGCAAGCGUUGCUCGGAAUUAUUGGGCGUAAAGGGUAGGUAGGUGGUCUCAUUUGUCAGGGGUGAAAGCCUUGGGCUUAACCCAAGAAGUGCCCUUGAAACGGUGAGACUGGAGUCUUGGAGAGGGUCGUGGAAUUCCCGGUGUAGCGGUGAAAUGCGUAGAGAUCGGGAGGAACACCAGAGGCGAAGGCGGCGACCUGGACAAGCACUGACACUCAACUACGAAAGCGUGGGUAGCAAACAGG
rnacentral:rRNA from 1 species